CGGGAAGGCGCCCGCCCGGCGGCCCCGCGCCCCGGGAAGCCAGCCCUACUCGGGUCGCCACCUUGCUUCUCACGGGCUUCAGUUUUCCCCUCUACCACCGCGCAUAAGGACCAGUUCGCUUCCAAAUUUCGGGGUGCUAUUGGAAAAUGCCUGGAGUAUUCAACAUUAUUCAGUCUUCAGAACGUGCUUCAGGGGUUUCUGCAGGGUAUCCCCAUGUUAUAGACCGGGAAGCCAGGAGGGUGGAGGCGGGUCGCUCAGGAUCACAGCCACCACUGCCACUAUGCCGAGCUCCCUCUCCCCUCUGAUGAGCUUAGGUCACAUGAGACUCCAGAAUCUUGAUGGGGGGCUGAGCCCCCAAAGAGCUCUAAUUCGGGACACCUCACACUGCGCAGUCAUGCAG
rnacentral:lncRNA from 1 species